GAAAGCGCGGGGACCGAACAGGAUUAGAUACCCUGGUAGUCCGCGCCGUAAACGAUGGGCGCUAGUUGUGGGGACCUUCCACGGUUUCUGCGACGCAGCUAACGCAUUAAGCGCCCCGCCUGGGGAGUACGAUCGCAAGAUUAAAACUCAAAGGAAUUGACGGGGACCCGCACAAGCAGCGGAGCAUGCGGCUUAAUUCGACGCAACGCGAAGAACCUUACCAAGGCUUGACAUAUAGCGAAAAGCGGCAGAGAUGUCGUGUCCGCAAGGGCGCUAUACAGGUGGUGCAUGGUUGUCGUCAGCUUGUGUCGUGAGAUGUUGGGUUAAGUCCCGCAACGAGCGCAACCCUCGUUCUGUGUUGCCAGCAUUUAGUUGGGGACUCACAGGAGACUGCCGUGGUUAACACGGAGGAAGGUGGGGAUGACGUCAAAUCAUCAUGCCCCUUAUGUCUUGGGCUGCACGCAUGCUGCAAUGGCCGAUACAAAGGGCUGCAAUACCGUGAGGUGGAGCGAAUCCCAUAAAGUCGGUCUCAGUUCGGAUUGAGGUCUGCAACUCGACCUCAUGAAGUCGGAGUUGCUAGUAAUCGUAGAUCAGCAACGCUCAGGUGAAUACGUUCCCGGGU
rnacentral:rRNA from 1 species